UUGUAUUAUAAGAUAUGCAAAUUUCAGAAUAUUAGAGUAGUGUUUUUGGUGAGUAUAUAGCUGUUUUGCUCUGGCGAAGAAUCAUAUAAUUUUGCCAAAAACCAGAAAAGCAACUAACCCUUAACCGUCAUCAUAUGUAAACUGCUUAUAUAUGCAAGUAUUCCCAUUAACACACGUCAAUCACACACAAUACUAAAAACCAUGGCAAAAGUUUUGUUUACUUUGGCGGUUUUCAUGCUCCUCCUUAUUCUCAUGAAUGGUAUGAUGUUUAGUGGCAUUCCAAUAGUAGAAGCUCGAAGGCAUAAGCAAGAUAGUGGUAAGAAAAUGGGAGAGCACAAAAAGAUUGAUUGUUCAAGUAAUCAAUAUUGCGAUCCAUUUUCUCCAAAAAUUGCUUUGGGUUGUCAAGAAUCAGGAAAAUGCCAAGAAAGGUGUAACCAAUUUGGUGGCGUCUUUUUGUGCUCCGUUCAACAAGGUUACUGCAAAUGCGCAAUGGAAACUUGAUUACUCAAGCGUCGACUUAGAUCUCCUUUUAAAAGUGUACUUAGUCCAAUUUUUUUUUUUUUUUUAUUCGUAAAAAAAGUUCCUAGCUUUUGCAUGUCUUAGAAAUCCACACAUACUUUCUUUGUUUUGUUUGUUUGUGUGCAUUAUAUACAAAGCAAUGAAUGAUACUUCAAUUCAUA